GGUUUCUCUGUGUAGCCCUGGCUGUCCUGGAACUCACUCUGUAGACCAGGCUGGCCUGGAACUCAGAAAUCCGCCUGCCUCUGCCUCCCAAGUGCUGGGAUUAAAGGCGUGUGCCACCACGCCC
rnacentral:miRNA from 1 species